GACGGAGGGGGCUAGCGUUGUUCGGAAUUACUGGGCGUAAAGAGCGCGUAGGCGGACUAGUAAGUUGGAAGUGAAAUCCCAAGGCUUAACCUUGGAAUAGCUUUCAAAACUGCCAGUCUUGAGUGAAGUAGGGGAUGAUGGAAUUCCUAGUGUAGAGGUGAAAUUCUUAGAUAUUAGGAGGAACACCGAUGGCGAAGGCAGUCAUCUGGGCUUCAACUGACGCUGAUGCGCGAAAGCGUGGGGAGCAAACAGGAUUAGAUACCCUGGUAGUCCACGCCGUAAACGAUGAGUGCUAGAUAUCGGGAAAUUUAUUUUUCGGUUUCGCAGCUAACGCAUUAAGCACUCCGCCUGGGGAGUACGAUCGCAAGAUUA
rnacentral:rRNA from 1 species